GAAUAAUGCGUAGAAAGUACACGAGCGGCGGACGGCUGAGUAACACGUAGGAACGUACCCCAAACUGAGGGAUAAGCACCAGAAAUGGGUGUCUAAUACCGCAUGUGCUCUUCGGAGUAAAGCUACGGCGGUUUGGGAACGGCCUGCGCAUGAUUAGCUUGUUGGUGAGGUAAUAGCUCACCAAGGCGACGAUCAUUAGCUGGUCUGAGAGGAUGAUCAGCCAGACUGGGACUGAGAACGGCCCAGACUCCUACGGGAGGCAGCAGUAGGGAAUUUUCCACAAUGGGGGCAACCCUGAUGGAGCAACGCCGCGUGCAGGAUGAAGGCCCUAGGGUCGUAAACUGCUUUUAUCUGUGACGAAUAUGACGGUAGCAGAUGAAUAAGGAUCGGCUAACUCCGUG
rnacentral:rRNA from 1 species